GUGGGGAAUAUUGGACAAUGGGCGAAAGCCUGAUCCAGCCAUGCCACGUGUGUGAAGAAGGUCUUCGGAUUGUAAAGCACUUUAAGUUGGGAGGAAGGGCAGUAAGUUAAUACCUUGCUGUUUUGACGUUACCGACAGAAUAAGCACCGGCUAACUUCGUGCCAGCAGCCGCGGUAAUACGAAGGGUGCAAGCGUUAAUCGUAAUUACUGGGCGGAAAGCGCGCGUAGGUGGUUUUGUAAGUUGGAGGUGAAAUCCCCGGGCUCAACCUGGGAACUGCCUCCAAAACUGCAUGACUAGAGUACGGUAGAGGGUAGUGGAAUUUCCUGUGUAGCGGUGAAAUGCGUAGAUAUAGGAAGGAACACCAGUGGCGAAGGCGACUACCUGGACUGAUACUGACACUGAGGUGCGAAAGCGUGGGGAGCAAACAGGAUUAGAAACCCCAGUAGUCC
rnacentral:rRNA from 1 species